UGAACGCUGGCGGCGUGCCUAAUACAUGCAAGUCGAGCGAACAGACGAGGAGCUUGCUCCUCUGACGUUAGCGGCGGACGGGUGAGUAACACGUGGAUAACCUACCUAUAAGACUGGGAUAACUUCGGGAAACCGGAGCUAAUACCGGAUAAUAUAUUGAACCGCAUGGUUCAAUAGUGAAAGACGGUUUUGCUGUCACUUAUAGAUGGAUCCGCGCCGCAUUAGCUAGUUGGUAAGGUAACGGCUUACCAAGGCAACGAUGCGUAGCCGACCUGAGAGGGUGAUCGGCCACACUGGAACUGAGACACGGUCCAGACUCCUACGGGAGGCAGCAGUAGGGAAUCUUCCGCAAAGGGCGAAAGCUUGACGGAGCAACGCCGCGUGAGUGAUGAAGGUCUUCGGAUCGUAAAACUCUGUUAUUAGGGAAGAACAAAUGUGUAAGUAACUAUGCACGUCUUGACGGUACCUAAUCAGAAAGCCACGGCUAACUACGUG
rnacentral:rRNA from 1 species